ACCCACACAUAUAUAGUUUCCAAUCAUAUCUCUUAAUAUAAACAGAAAUCUAAAGCUCAUCAGAAAUGAAAGAACAGGGGGGCGCCUGGGUGGCUCUGUCAGUUGAGCUCAGGUGAGCGUCCAGCUUCAGCUCAGGUCAUGAUCUCAUGGUUGUGGGUUAGAGCCCUGCAUCGGGCUCUGUGCUGACAGCUCAGAGCCUGGAGCCUGCUUCACAUUCUGUGCCUCCCUCUCUCUCUGCCCCUCCCCUGCUCACACCGCGUCUCUCUCUCUCUCUCUCUCAAAAAUAAGUAAAACUUUAAAAAUAAAAAUAAUAAAAAAUAAAAAAUGAAAGAACAAAAUAAGCAGGAAUAGGGAACAAAGAGUAUAUGAAACACUUAAUUAUUAGUGUUCUUAGAUAAGGAAAGGUAUUAUAAUCUGUACAACAAGAACAGGAUGUUGUGCAAAACACCUCUCUGAAAAAGUCUGACUAAGUAAAAAAUAUAACCAAAUUAAACAGAAAAAAAUUUGGGAAACAAAACAAAGAAUGGAAAACAGAAGGGAAAAGAUAGAAGACUUCGGGAGGAAACCAAACCUUGGGAGGUCCAAGAUCAAUGUAAUUGGGGUUCCAGAAAAAAAGGCCUGAAAACAGGCAGGAAUUAUCAAAGGAGAAGUACAAAAAAAUUUCGUAGAAUGGAACGACAUGAGUCUUUCAGUUGAAAGGGGCUACAUAAUGUCCAGCAAUACAAAAAAAGACAAAACAAUCCACACUGAGUUAUAACAGUAUAAAAUUUCAGGGGCUAAGGAGAUCUUAGAAGAUUCUGGGUUGUAGGUACGGUGGUAGCAUUGGGGAUUUGUAAUCACUUAGAAGGGAGCAUGAAUCAAAAUGGCACUGUUAGUGUGUAUUAGGACAGAAUGCCUUCAAAAAUCUGAGGGAGAAAUUAUUUGUCCUAGAAGUUUGUAACCAACCACACUGCCAAUCAUGUGUGACUGCAAGGACCCAGGAAGUCUGUCUGCCACGUGCCUCUCGGGAACCGCUGGAUAAUGUGCUCCAGAAGAACAAGAACACAGCACAUAACAGAUACGCCCACAGGAUAAGAAUCUUCAAGUUCAUAAUUCUUUAUGGAUACAAAUCUCAAGCGUAAAGCUUUCCCUAAGAAGA
rnacentral:lncRNA from 1 species